rnacentral:rRNA from 1 species
UGUGUAGGUGGUGCUCUAAGUUUGGUGUGAAAUCUCCCGGCUUAACUGGGAGGGUGCGCCGAAAACUGGAGUGCUUGAGUAUGGGAGAGGUAAGCGGAAUUCCUGGUGUAGCGGUGAAAUGCGUAGAUAUCAGGAGGAACACCUGUGGUGUAGACAGCUUGCUGGACCAUCACUGACACUGAGACACGAAAGCGUGGGUAGCAAACAGGAUUAGAUACCCUGGUAGUCCACGCCCUAAACGAUGCAUACUUGGUGUGAGCCAUUCAUUUUGGUUCGUGCCGGAGCUAACGCGUUAAGUAUGCCGCCUGGGGAGUACGGUCGCAAGGCUGAA